GGGACUGAGGGACCAAGAGAAACAGAGACGCAGGCCCGGGACUGGGGCACCGGGGUGGGAGAUGGAAAUGGAAAACCUGGGCCAGGACUGAACCCAGGCCUGGGACUGAGUUCUGGAAAUAGAGUGCGGAUGGCGGCUUGGGGGCCCAGGGCCAGACACGCAGGCUUAUGGAUUGGGGACCAAUGGAUGGAGACCCAGGUCCAGGUCUCGGGGACCCAGGGACAGAGACCCAGGCCCAAGACAGGAGGACAUCUAGGCCUCUGUGCUUAAACCUGAUUUGAGGUUCCCAUAAUGGGGCCAGGGCAGGUUUGGGGGUGAGGCAGACGUCCUGGACCCGAGAGAGCCGCUGGGGAUAGGGGGGCAGAUGUAGUUCCUAAGGGCCCUGCACAUACAGCGGCUGCGCCCCAAACCCGAAGCCAGGCCCCGGGGUGGCCUGGUCCCGUUGGCCGAGGUCUCAGGCUGCUGCACCCUGCGAAGCCGCAGCCCCUCAGACUCAGCGGCCUACUUCUGCAUCUACACCUACCCUCGGGGCCGGCGCGGGGCCCGGCGCAGAGCCACUCGCACCUUCCGGGCAGAUGGGGCCGCCACCUACGAAGAAAACCGUGCCGAGGCC
rnacentral:sRNA from 1 species